rnacentral:rRNA from 1 species
AUUGAACGCUGGCGGCAUGCUUUACACAUGCAAGUCGAACGGUAACAGGGAGCUUGCUCCGCUGACGAGUGGCGAACGGGUGAGUAAUGCAUCGGAACGUACCCAGUCGUGGGGGAUAACGUAGCGAAAGUUACGCUAAUACCGCAUACGUCCUGAGGGAGAAAGCGGGGGACCGUAAGGCCUCGCGCGAUUGGAGCGGCCGAUGUCGGAUUAGCUAGUUGGUAGGGUAAAGGCCUACCAAGGCGACGAUCCGUAGCGGGUCUGAGAGGAUGAUCCGCCACACUGGGACUGAGACACGGCCCAGACUCCUACGGGAGGCAGCAGUGGGGAAUUUUGGACAAUGGGCGAAAGCCUGAUCCAGCCAUGCCGCGUGAGUGAAGAAGGCCUUCGGGUUGUAAAGCUCUUUCAGGUGGAAAGAAAACGCAUAGGUUAAUACCUUGUGCGGAUGACGGUACCAUCAGAAGAAGCACCGGCUAACUACGUGCCAGCAGCCGCGGUAAU